rnacentral:rRNA from 1 species
AGAGUUUGAUCAUGGCUCAGGAUGAACGCUGGCGGCGUGCCUAACACAUGCAAGUCGAGCGAUUCUCUUCGGAGAAGAGCGGCGGACGGGUGAGUAACGCGUGGGUAACCUGCCCUGUACACACGGAUAACAUACCGAAAGGUAUGCUAAUACGAGAUAAUAUGCUUUUAUCGCAUGGUAGAAGUAUCAAAGCUUUUGCGGUACAGGAUGGACCCGCGUCUGAUUAGCUAGUUGGUAAGGUAACGGCUUACCAAGGCGACGAUCAGUAGCCGACCUGAGAGGGUGAUCGGCCACAUUGGAACUGAGACACGGUCCAAACUCCUACGGGAGGCAGCAGUGGGGAAUAUUGCACAAUGGGCGAAAGCCUGAUGCAGCAACGCCGCGUGAGCGAUGAAGGCCUUCGGGUCGUAAAGCUCUGUCCUCAAGGAAGAUAACGACGGUACUUGAGGAGGAAGCCCCGGCUAACUACGUG